rnacentral:rRNA from 1 species
ACGAACGCUGGCGGCAUGCCUAACACAUGCAAGUCGAACGAAGGCUUCGGCCUUAGUGGCGCACGGGUGCGUAACGCGUGGGAAUCUGCCCUUUGGUUCGGAAUAACAGCUGGAAACGGCUGCUAAUACCGGAUGAUGACGAAAGUCCAAAGAUUUAUCGCCAGAGGAUGAGCCCGCGUUGGAUUAGGUAGUUGGUGGGGUAAAGGCCUACCAAGCCGACGAUCCAUAGCUGGUCUGAGAGGAUGAUCAGCCACACUGGGACUGAGACACGGCCCAGACUCCUACGGGAGGCAGCAGUGGGGAAUAUUGGACAAUGGGCGCAAGCCUGAUCCAGCAAUGCCGCGUGAGUGAUGAAGGCCCUAGGGUUGUAAAGCUCUUUUACCCGGGAAGAUAAUGACUGUACCGGGAGAAUAAGCCCCGGCUAACUCCGUG